UUGAUUCAAUGAUCUGUUUAAACAUGUUUGGCUCUGAGAUCAAACAGGUGCAAAGAACAUUACAGACUUUGCUGGUGACGUGAUAAAGAAGAAAAGAAACUUCCUUCACUUUAACUGUAUGGAGCAGCCUGACUAGUCUGCUAAAUAUCUUUAGCACUCCAUGAGAAAAACGAGGGUGUUUAUUUUCUCAUCUCACGGUUUAAGCAACUGGAAACCAACGAGAUGACAGAAUUAUCGCUUUCAGCCACGGCGAUGACCUCACGGCAGUCUCACAGCGAGUUCACUGUGAAAACACCCAGCACUCGCACUCACUCCCACCUGAACGAACAAUGUACUUGUCAAUCGCACACCUUGAGUACACAACAGAUGCAGACAUACUCCAUUUUAAACACCUGGCCAAAGCAAAAAGAGCGACAUCAACAUUUUGAAAUGUUCAUUUUUCAACUUUUCACUCACAUUGGGGCUCAUUCAUGUAACAUUCAUCAAUAUAGAAGUAAAUUUGAAGUCAUUUCUGGCCAACACAAAAAGAACUUUCCUCCAGAUUCACAAAGCCUUUCAAAAACAUCAAAAAUGAUAGUUAAAUGUCUGUUAAAUGAACCCAAUCGUUCGUAAAUAGGGUGCGAAUGCGCACUCAUUCAUAAUUAGCAUAAUCCUGUCUACACAAGUUAGAUGUGCAGUAUAUUUCAUAAAUAUAGGAAAGACUAAUAUGCCAUAUGCCUAACAUUAUAUUUUUAACACACUUGUGUCCACCAAAGCGUUUUAAGCCACACAGCUUUACAAUGCAGGUGAAAGAGAUUUGGUUACUUUGAUUUGGAAUCCACGGCAAUAACAUUACCAGCAGAGCUUGGCAAUGACACCUGCCAAAUGGGGGUAGAGUU